rnacentral:rRNA from 1 species
AUUGAACGCUGGCGGCAUGCUUUACACAUGCAAGUCGAACGGUAACAGGUUAAGCUGACGAGUGGCGAACGGGUGAGUAAUGCAUCGGAACGUGCCCGAUCGUGGGGGAUAACGCAGCGAAAGCUGCGCUAAUACCGCAUACGAUCUGAGGAUGAAAGCGGGGGACCGUAAGGCCUCGCGCGAUCGGAGCGGCCGAUGUCAGAUUAGGUAGUUGGUGGGGUAAAGGCUCACCAAGCCGACGAUCUGUAGCUGGUCUGAGAGGACGACCAGCCACACUGGGGCUGAGACACGGCCCAGACUCCUACGGGAGGCAGCAGUGGGGAAUUUUGGACAAUGGGCGCAAGCCUGAUCCAGCAAUGCCGCGUGCAGGAAGAAGGCCUUCGGGUUGUAAACUGCUUUUGUACGGAGCGAAAAGGCUCUCUCUAAUACAGGGGGCUCAUGACGGUACCGUAAGAAUAAGCACCGGCUAACUACGUGCCAGCCGCCGCGGUAACAC